rnacentral:rRNA from 1 species
UACGGAGGGUGCAAGCGUUAUCCGGAUUCACUGGGUUUAAAGGGUGCGUAGGAGGGCAGGUAAGUCAGUGGUGAAAUCUCCGAGCUUAACUUGGAAGCUGCCGUUGAUACUAUCUGUCUUGAAUAUUGUGGAGGUGAGCGGAAUAUGUCAUGUAGCGGUGAAAUGCGUAGAUAUCUGGAGGAACACCGGUGGCGAAGGCGGCGUUCUGGACUGCUACUGACACUGAGGAACGAAAGCCAGGGGAGCAAACGGG